UACGAGGGGGGGCAAGCGUUGUUCGGAAUUAUUGGGCGUAAAGGGUGCGUAGGCGGUCUGACAAGUCUGAUGUGAAAUCUAUGGGCUCAACCCAUAGUCUGCAUCGGAAACUGUCGGGCUUGAGUAUGGGAGAGGGGGGGUGGAAUUCCACGUGUAGCAGUGAAAUGCGUAGAGAUGUGGAGGAACACCGAUGGCGAAGGCAGCCCCCCUGGGUUAACACUGACGCUCAGGCACGAAAGCGUGGGGAGCAAACAGG
rnacentral:rRNA from 1 species